CAGACCUAUUCCAAAUGGAAAAGCAGCAACACUUUAGUACUAAGCAGUAAGUAAUGUCUGUCAGACAUCCUCCACUGUCUUUGGAGUUUAGCGUACUUGGGUCUAGGUUGAACAAUUCAAGUUACAAUCUGUCUAUUUCCAGACAUCUAACAUUUGUUUACACUGCACUCCUAGCAAUAAGAAUUUCUCUUACACAGAAGUACAAUCUUGAGAGCGGGGAAAGGGUUUUCCAUACUUAUGGUCAAGUCAAGCUUCAAUAAUCUCAUUUCUUUUAUUCCCAGGAAAGAAUUUAAUUUUCAUUUUUCAUCUGGUGGAAUUCUGGUAUCCCAGCUUUUGCUCAACAAGAUGACGCUGCUCCCACAGCCCCUCAGACACUUUGUGAUGCUGCUUCACAUUUGAAGCAUUAUUCCUUCACUUCCAACAUACUGAAAUAGAGUUGGAUCAUUUGGGAACUGUGACAUUCAUAACUUUUUCCUCAGUAUUAGAUUUUUUGCUUUGCUACCAGACUGCUUUAAAAAGGUGUUUUUUCCUAACAGCCUCAGGUCAGUUCAUAUCAUGUGUCGAAUACUGACAGUCCUUGAAGAGGGGUCUCCUUCUUUGUAAUCACAACUGCAAACUAAUUAAAACUGCAAAUCCUCUUCUAAAGAAAGGAGGAAAUGGGUGUCUGGCCACGGCGACAUUCUCUGUUUCCCCUUUCCAAGGGGAAGAGUCUCCAUUCCCCAGCCAGCUGUGGUGGUUCCAGACUAAAUGUGUAAAGAGCGUCUACAGCAAGGCUUUCCAUGUUGAAAUGUUCAUUAUAGGAAGAACAGUGAUCCUGCACAAGCUGCAUCAUUGCUGGACAAUUGUCAAAGUCUUAUGAACACUGUAACCUAGAAUUUGCGGAAGAAGUUGAACGCCACAACAGUGUAAAGAUAAACUACUACAGCAAGGAGUCCUACAGUUAGCACAAGCUGUGUAUGGAGACAACGACAUGAAAAUCUGUAAGGAUGCUUGCAAGGUGAACGUUUCAACUGAAAAAUCUGCAGCUGUUUUUCAGUGUUCCUGUCUACUAGCAAGAAAAGCAACAGGAUUAGAAAAACUAAUUUUCACUUUUUAUGAAUGUAUGCUAAAAGCUGCAGUCUUGAGUUAAAACAGUCUUGUCAAUUAUGCUCAGUUUUAAGUAUUAAAUUUAGAAAUGUCUCAUAAAGAAAAUGUAUCAGUCAUUACAUUUAAAUUAAUAUGACUUUGGUCAUCCUGGAGGAAAAUAAAGGAGGUGGAAAGAGAGAUUUCAUUUGUUUGUGCAAUGAUACUGAAAACAUUGUCAUAUGUACUAUUUUAGAAACUUCCUUUCCUGAUAAGGGAAGAAACUUCCAUUGGUGGAUUUCUGCUGAAAGAAAGGAUUAAGCAAACACAAAGGAUCUUUCAGAGUUAAGCUAGGGGGAUAAUCUUAUGCCUUUUCUGAAACAUGUGGUUUAAAGUGUGUAAGAGUGGGCUUAGAAUGUGUGUUACUACAUUUAAGAAGUAAUGGAAUGUGUAUGUUUGAAAUUAAAAGUUCACUUAGAUUUCUUAUAUGUAAGUUAAAAAGCUUGCUAGUGAAAAGCUUGGUUUUCUUGGUAUACUAGCUAGGAACACAGAGCCUUUAUAGAGAUCAGAGAAUUAUUCCCUGCAUAAGUUUCAAAAAUUAGUUUUGGAAGUAGAUUUUAUUAAUCUGAUCACUGUAUGAAAAGAUGACACAUAAAUAUACUCCACAGUGCAGAAUGCCCCCACCUGUAAGCAUGUUCUUAAUAAGCCCAUUUUUACAAAGUAAGUAUUGAAAUCUCAGUGCCCAGAUCAUCAUUACUGCUGUUGCUAAGGAAAGAUUGUGAAUUCUUAUUAGUUAUCACCAAUCAGUUCAUCAUUGAGCACAGAGAAGGAGCUGGUUAGGUCAUAAUUCAUACUUCUGUAUUUUUCUAGAAUUAAGUAUUUUUCUGUUGUGUGCAAAAUAUUUAGCUAUUGGCACUCUGUGCAUAUAGAUUAUUAGCAUUUCAUAGGAUUUAACAUGUCAUAAACGUGCUUUAGAGUAACCAAUGGGAUCUAUUCUUUAAUCCAAUCACGAUCAAAACUGAUUGCAUUUCAA